AUCUACGGCCAUACCACCUUGAACGCGCCCGAUCUCGUCUGAUCUUGGAAACUAAGCAGGGUCGGGCCUGGUUAGUACUUGGAUGGGAGAAAUUAAGAAAUGCAUAAAGGAGUGGGAA
rnacentral:rRNA from 1 species